rnacentral:rRNA from 1 species
AUUGAACGCUGGCGGCAUGCUUUACACAUGCAAGUCGAACGGUAACAGGUUAAGCUGACGAGUGGCGAACGGGUGAGUAAUGCAUCGGAACGUGCCCGAUCGUGGGGGAUAACGCAGCGAAAGCUGCGCUAAUACCGCAUACGAUCUGAGGAUGAAAGCCGGGGACCGUAAGGCCUCGCGCGAUCGGAGCGGCCGAUGUCAGAUUAGGUAGUUGGUGGGGUAAAGGCCCACCAAGCCGACGACCUGUAGCUGGUCUGAGAGGACGACCAGCCACACUGGGACUGAGACACGGCCCAGACUCCUACGGGAGGCAGCAGUGGGGAAUUUUGGACAAUGGGCGAAAGCCUGAUCCAGCAAUGCCGCGUGCAGGAAGAAGGCCUUCGGGUUGUAAACUGCUUUUGUACGGAGCGAAAAGGUCCUUUCUAAUAAAAGGGGCUCAUGACGGUACCGUAAGAAUAAGCACCGGCUAACUACGUGCCAGCAGCCGCCGCAG